AGAGAGAGAGAGCACUUGGUGGUGGUCUCUUUUAUAUUGAAGUCUCCCUGAAACUACUUUCCUCCAUAAUAUAGGAAGAGAGAGUGAUAGAGAGAGAGAGUGGGAGAGAGAGAGAAAGAGGGUUUUGAAGGAGAAGUGUUUGGUUAUGGUUUUGAACAGCAACUAGAGAAGGCAUCCAAAGGGAUCGCAUUGAUCCUAAACCUUCCUCAUUCUACAUUUUUAUGUGAUUUCUUUUGGAUCAUGCUAUCCCUUUGGAUUCCUCCUUUG
rnacentral:miRNA from 1 species